GACGAACGCUGGCGGCGUGCUUAACACAUGCAAGUCGAACGGAAAGGCCCUGCUUUUGUGGGGUGCUCGAGUGGCGAACGGGUGAGUAACACGUGAGUAACCUGCCCUUGACUUUGGGAUAACUUCAGGAAACUGGGGCUAAUCCCGGAUAGGAGCUCCUGCUGCAGGGUGGGGGUUGGAAAGUUUCGGCGGUUGGGGAUGGACUCGCGGCUUAUCAGCUUGUUGGUGGGGUAGUGGCUUACCAAGGCUUUGACGGGUAGCCGGCCUGAGAGGGUGACCGGCCACAUUGGGACUGAGAUACGGCCCAGACUCCUACGGGAGGCAGCAGUGGGGAAUAUUGCACAAUGGGCGGAAGCCUGAUGCAGCAACGCCGCGUGCGGGAUGACGGCCUUCGGGUUGUAAACCGCUUUCGCCUGUGACGAAGCGUGAGUGACGGUAAUGGGUAAAGAAGCACCGGCUAACUACGUG
rnacentral:rRNA from 1 species